CACGAUGUCAGAGUUCAUGUUGGUUUUUUUGGAGGGUGGAGGUUUGCACGGAGUGACCGGGGAAUUCGUCAUCUUCAACAGCAUUCGAAAGCAUGAUAUUGUCCAUAGGUUUGGCACGGAGCUCGGUAAAAAAGCAUCUGUUCAAGCCGCCAUCUUGGCACCUGUCCUCAAUUGCAUGGUUUUCCGAGUCGUAGUGGGAGGACAACACACAUCAUAUCAUUGUGAUUCCAAGUUUACUUCGAUAUGCCCAGACACAGAGCCACCAGACAGAGACACCCCAACCUGCCCAGGAUAUUGAAGGAACCUUGAGACAGAUCAUUCAGAUGAACAGUCGGGAGAGGAAAGAACUACAGAGCACAAAGACAAGAAAGGAAAGGGAAGAUACGUAGUCAG